rnacentral:rRNA from 1 species
ACGCUCGACACCUACGGGGAGGCAGCAGUGGGGAAUAUUGCACAAUGGGGGAAACCCUGAUGCAGCGACGCCGCGUGGAGGAAGAAGGUCUUCGGAUUGUAAACUCCUGUUGUUGGGAAAAGAGGAUGGUACCCAACAAGGAAGUGACGGCUAACUACGUGCCAGCAGCCACGGUAAUCUGAGCGGGCUGGCAAGGC